UAGGCGUCGACCGGCGCGACGGUGAGUAACGCGUAUCCAACCUGCCCGUCACUUGGGGAUAACCUUGCGAAAGUCGAAUUAAUGCCUGAUGGUUUUCCACGGACGGCAUCUGAUGUGGAACAAAGAUUGAUCGCUAUGGGAUGGGGAUGCGUCUGAUUAGCUUGUUGGCGGGGUAACGGCCCACCAAGGCAACGAUCAGUAGGGGUUCUGAGAGGAAGGUCCCCCACAUUGGAACUGAGACACGGUCCAAACUCCUACGGGAGGCAGCAGUGAGGAAUAUUGGUCAAUGGGCGGAAGCCUGAACCAGCCAAGUAGCGUGCAGGAUGACGGCCCUAUGGGUUGUAAACUGCUUUUAUAAGGGAAUAAAGUGAGCCUCGUGAGGCUUUUUGCAUGUACCUUAUGAAUAAGGACCGGCUAAUUCCGUG
rnacentral:rRNA from 1 species